rnacentral:lncRNA from 1 species
AUGAUUUGAUGUAUCACUUAUACCCAAAGCUACGAAAAACUUUAUUUUAAUGUAUCCAUAUUAUUUUUGCAGUGUACAAGUUCAGCAAGGCCAAAAUUUCCCAAGAAACUAACAAGGAUUUCAUGGCUUCGCCUAACACUCAUCAUCCACCACAACAAAAGUCAUUUUGAUGGCUGCUUGGGAUAAUCCUUUGAUUCCUGCUUUGAACUUGGCAUGGCUAUAGCUGUGUAGGAGCAAGAAAGAGAGAAGCUUUUACUGCUAUCUCUUUUGAAAAAGGAAGCCUCUUCUUCAAUGUAAGAAGGAUUGUGUUUUGGGCUGCUCAAGGACUAGUUAGUGGGCUGCAACAAAGAUGAUGGACAUGAUAGAUGGAGGGAAUGGAGAGGUCGGAGAAGAAGGGUAGGAGUAGAAGAGGGAGGUGGCUGGUAGGCCGUAGGAAUUGAUAAUAGAGGGAGGAGAUAUCUAAAAGUUCCUAAAAUACCCUGUUUAAUUGGUCAACGUGGAGUUUGAUCUAUUUUCCGUGGUGGCGCUGUCGUAGAGAUCCUUAAUUGAAAUCAUAAUAUAAGUUUAGAGAUCAAAUUGACUGAAAACAAAAGUUAG